ensembl:snRNA U6 U6 spliceosomal RNA
CAGCAAGCUACAGUGCUGGACUAAAAUUGGAGUGAUACAGAGAAGAUUAGUAUGGCCCCUGUGUAAGGAUGACACGCAAAUUCGUGAGCGUUCCAUAUUUUU